UACGUAGGGGGCAAGCGUUGUCCGGAAUCAUUGGGCGUAAAGAGCGUGUAGGCGGCCCGGUAAGUCCGCUGUGAAAGUCCAGGGCUCAACCCUGGGAUGCCGGUGGAUACUGUCGGGCUCGAGUCCGGAAGAGGAGUGUGGAAUUCCUGGUGUAGCGGUGAAAUGCGCAGAUAUCAGGAGGAACACCGGUGGCGAAGGCGGAUCUCUGGGCCUGUUCUGACGCUGAGGCGCGAAAGCUAGGGGAGCGAACAGG
rnacentral:rRNA from 1 species